rnacentral:sRNA from 1 species
CCGGGGCGCACAGGAGGGCUCAGCCCCGCCGACCCUGACCCGGCCCCUCCCGCAGCACAAGAUCUGCACGCCGCUGACCCUGGAGAUGUACUACACGGAGAUGGACCCCGAGCGCCACCGCAGCAUCCUGGCGGCCAUCGGGGCCUACCCGCUGAGCCGCAAGCACGGCACGGAGACGCCGGCGGUCUGGGGGGACGGCUACCGCGCAGCCAAGGAAGAACGCAAGGGGCCCACCCAGGCUGGGGCGGCGACGGCCACCGAACCCCCCGGGAAGCCGUCGGCCAAGGCGGAGAAGGAGGCGGCGCGGAAGGCGGCCGGGAGCGCGGCGCCCCCGCUCGCGCAGUGACGGUCUCCGGCCCCGCAGCCCGGCCCGGGGUAGGUGCGCACCGCGGGGCUCCGGCCGACUCUGCCCAGCGUCCCCCGCCAGCUCCUGUGACCAGCGCGUCGCCCGAUGCUCUCCGCCUUGUUCGUGUCCCCAGGCGCCCUCGCUGCAGCCCCGCCCGCGUGGGUCUCUGACUCUGUCGCUUUUCUCUAAGUAAAGAUUUCACGUCCA